rnacentral:rRNA from 1 species
AUUGAACGCUGGCGGCAGGCCUAACACAUGCAAGUCGAACGCGUGGCGGACGGGUGAGUAAUGUCUGGGAAACUGCCUGAUGGAGGGGGAUAACAACUGGAAACGGUAGCUAAUACCGCAUACAAUCAGAUGUGCCCCGAUGGGGUUAGCUAGUAGGGGAGGUAAAGGCUCACCUAGGCGACGCUCCCUAGCUGGUCUGAGAGGAUGAUCAGCCACACUGGAACUGAGACACGGCCCAGACGCCUACGGGAGGCAGCAGUGGGGAAUAUUGCACAAUGGGCGCAAGCCUGAUGCAGCCAUGCCGCGUGUAUGAAGAAGGCCUUCGGGUUGUAAAGUACUUUCAGCGGGGAGGCGUUACCCGCAGAAGAAGCACCGGCUAACUCCGUGCCAGCAGCCGCGGUAAUUC